UACGUAGGGGGCAAGCGUUGUCCGGAUUUAUUGGGCGUAAAGAGCGUGUAGGCGGUUAGGUAGGUCCGUUGUGAAAACUCGAGGCUCAACCUCGAGACGCCGAUGGAAACCAUCUAACUAGAGUCCGGAAGAGGAGAGUGGAAUUCCUGGUGUAGCGGUGAAAUGCGCAGAUAUCAGGAAGAACGCCCGUGGCUAAGGCGGCUCUCUAGUACGGUACUGACGCUGAGACGCGAAAGCGUGGGGAGCGAACAGG
rnacentral:rRNA from 1 species